UAACGCGUGAGGAACCUGCCUCAAAGAGGGGGACAACAGUUGGAAACGACUGCUAAUACCGCAUAAGCCCACGACCCGGCAUCGGGUUGAGGGAAAAGGAGCAAUCCGCUUUGAGAUGGCCUCGCGUCCGAUUAGCUAGUUGGUGAGGUAACGGCCCACCAAGGCGACGAUCGGUAGCCGGACUGAGAGGUUGAACGGCCACAUUGGGACUGAGACACGGCCCAGACUCCUACGGGAGGCAGCAGUGGGGAAUAUUGCACAAUGGGGGAAACCCUGAUGCAGCGACGCCGCGUGGAGGAAGAAGGUCUUCGGAUUGUAAACUCCUGUUGUUGAGGAAGAUAAUGACGGUACUCAACAAGGAAGUGACGGCUAACUACGUGCCAGCAGCCGCGGUAAAACGUAGGUCACAAGCGUUGUCCGGAAUUACUGGGUGUAAAGGGAGCGCAGGCGGGAAGACAAGUUGGAAGUGAAAUCCAUGGGCUCAACCCAUGAACUGCUUUCAAAGCUGUUUUUCUUGAGUAGUGCAGAGGUAGGCGGAAUUCCCGGUGUAGCGGUGGAAUGCGUAGAUAUCGGGAGGAACACCAGUGGCGAAGGCGGCCUACUGGGCACCAACUGACGCUGAGGCUCGAAAGUGUGGGUAGCAAACAGGAUUAGAUACCCUGGUAGUCCACACUGUAAACGAUGAUUACUAGGUGU
rnacentral:rRNA from 1 species